rnacentral:lncRNA from 1 species
GAACUUCUAGUGUGUAAAAGUGUGAGACAACACAUUUCUGUUGUUUAAGACACACAAUCUGUGGUACUUUGAUACAGCAGCCCUGACAAACUAAUACAUGGGGUGUCUCAUUGUAGUUUUAAUCAGUAACACCCAUUAUGAACUGAAAACGUCUGCUACUUUUAAGAUCCAACUUGAAUGCUUCCUGAUUAAAUAUAUACAGGAGUGAUUUCAGAGGAAUUUAAGUUUUGGAUCAUUCUUUUGAGAAAGAAAGAAAAGUACCCUUUUAAAAGAGACUUUCUUCUGCCACUGCCACUCCUGAGACAACAUGACCAAUCUCUCCCCUUCCUCCUCCUCAGCGUACUUUCAACAUAAAGACGACGAGGAUAAAGGCAUUUAUGAUGAACUACUUCCACAUAAUGAAUAAUUGAACAAAGGAGAGAAUUGUGAGAGUGAGAAAAAGUGAGACAAAGAAGAAAAACUAUAAAUCAGCAAAAUACAGUGCCAAGAGCUCUGGACCACAAAUCAGAAGACCUGAGCCCUAAUUCCUUUCCAGUCAUUGGAUUUGUUCGUCGCUUGCCAAAAUAGCAGCGAACUCUCUGUCAAACU